rnacentral:RNase_P_RNA from 1 species
AAGGUACGGCGGAUGCUUGCUUGGUUUAGCUAAGAGGAAAGUCCGGGCUGCAGUGAAGCAGGGUUCCGUCUAACGGACGGCCACCGUAAGGUGAGGGAUAGUGCAACAGAAAGCAAACCGCCUCGUAAGAGGUAAGGGUGAAACGGUGGGGUAAGAGCCCACCAGCGCCUUGAGCAAUCUUGGCGGCUAUGUAAACCCAACCCGCAGCAAGAAGAGCAUGGUAUAAGCUUCACAUUUUCGCUCUUCGCUAGAGCUUCAUGGUAACAUGAAGAGUAGAUAAAUAAGCAUCCAAGACAUAACCCGGCUUACAGCCGUACCUAAUAA